AAAAAAACCCAGACGAGGCCCGCUCGCACGAAAAGAAAUCAGACGAACCGGGAGCGAGCCCCCCUCGCACGAAGGCACGAACCAGAGCGAGGACCCCUCGUAUGAAAAAAUAUCUGACGAACGAGGCUGCCCUCGAUCUAUUCUCUACGACGACGGGAACAAUGCCCCAGCCGCCAUCGCGGAUCUAGAGGAACCGCAGCCGAGAUGCUAGAGGAGCCGACGCCGAGGUAAUAGAGGAUCCGUCGCCGCCUUCAUUGCACACCUCGAGGGCACCGUCGGGACACUGCUGCCGAGGUCUGCCAUCGCCGACGUCGAGGUCUGAGAGGGGCAUGACCCUAGGGAGAUCUUCGUCGAGGUUGCCGCCGCCGACGACGUCGCCUGCCCAAGGUGAGAUCCUAGGGCCUGUCUCCUCCUCUCCUUGCAGCACUAUGCUCUGUCGCGAGGCUGGCGGUGGGUCGAUGGACGGAGAGGAAAGGUAUGGUGUCGUUGAUCCGUCCUGCCUGUGGAUUCACUGGAUGCGUCUUGGUGGAGUGAGCGCUCAUGAGAUUCGAUCUGGUUGUUCUUUCCUUCAAGGUCGAUUUGGGGUCAGUAGAUUUGAUCUGGCAUAAGCUCUCCCUUGUUCUUUUGUGCUUGAAUCAGAUUUGGUGGUUCUCAAUCUUGGUCUUCUUUUGUAUGCAUGAUACACAACCGUGAGUGCUCCUCUCCCCUUUCCCUCCCUGCUAAAAUUCAGUUCCAAACACGAUCUGACGGUCUGAGCCCUAUUUGGUGUUGGUGCACUUUCUGAGUAAUUGUAUGUUCAAGAAUUGAUCUAAAUUUAAAGGAUAAGAAAGUUUACAUUUUCUUAUAUGGCUCAGACCGAAUAAAGUCUGAUCAGGUUUGCUGUUGGGUUGUUUGUAAUAUAAAAAACAACCAUAAUCAUCGAGGAGUGAGUCAUUCUCUCAUGGGGAUUUGUUUGCCUAAUAGUAGAAUUCCAAUUGCUUUUGGAUUUGUAUGAUGCAGCUUACAUACUCCCAUCACCCAGUAACAUAUCAAUAUCAGUUACUGCAUCUGGCCGGGUUUAUAUUAUGCAUCCCUACUGAAAGUUUCAUUGUUAAAUAGAAACGAAGAUUACAGUUAUAGAUGAUAGAUAUAUGUAAUUGUGUGCUGCAUUCUCACUGCUUCCAGUAGAUAGUAUCAUUUCAGAGUUCACCUAAAAUUUGCAAUGUUCAAAUUUUUGGGAUCAAAAUACAACUUUUUUUAAAUUUAAGCCAAUAUAAAGUGUGUGCAGGUUGACUUUUAAAACAUUUUUGCUUACAAGAAGGUUAUCAGUUGUAAUGUUUAGCACCUACAUAACCUGAUGGUCCUGUAGUGACUUGGGAUUGGCAACUAAAGAAACAUGGGUAUCGAGCAUAUUAAUGUGAGAAGUAGAUAUACAAUAUGUUAUAAAGGAGAAGACAAGUAAAUAUUGAGUGUGAAAGAUAAGUAUGAUUUUUUUACUAUCAUAUGAAUUAUUGAAUUUAAUCUGGUAUUCAACCCCUCAAAAUUAGAUUUAAUACAUGCUACUACACCAUUACAUAUCUCUACUAUUAAAGGAGAAUUUGACAAGUAAUCAAGCAAGUCAGCACUGUCGUCGAUGGAAGUUGUCGUGCGGAGAUGGAAGUUGACAAGUAAGUUUCUCCAUGAAGUUGAUCUGAUGCGAAGCUUGUGCCAGAUAAAAGGUUAAUUGAGUUCUCAUCUCCAAUAUGUUUGCAUUCUAACUAUCCUUGUUGAUUCAGUGGUUCCAUGAUGCUACAUUUCACUUGUUUUUCACCUCUUGAUGCUACUAUGGACGGAAGGCGUUUGCUAAUUUGCACAUUAAUUUUUUUUCUGAUAAAAUGUGCCAAUAUCACCUGCAUUAUGCUUUUUAAAUUAUUAAUCCCUGCUAUAAUGUAACGUGCCCACAUAACAAGUAUUCCGCAAUCUUCGCAAGCAUGUAUUUGUUUGUCUAACUGUAGGUGAAAGAACAAGAUCCACUGUGUGUGCAACGGCAACAAUAAAUAUCAUGUCAUUAGGGAGACUUCUGAUAAUUCUACUCUGCAUUUUUUUUCUUUAGUAGAAGUGUUCUGCCGCAUUAUUCAACUAUGUGUGACCAAUCUGACACACCUCACGAGUUCUAUAUAUAUAUAUAUAUGGACUGAGCAAUUGAUUCAGGUCUUUUUUCAAGUGGGGAUGCAGAUUGGGCAUCAAGGUGUACGACAGAGGAUGACAAACGAUUACGUUCUGCACGUUAGUCCGCGUACAACUUAAAAGUUGAUUGAUACUUUUCAUUUUAUAUUGAUGGUCCCUCCAGCGAGAACAAUUUUUUGACUCGAUGUGUAGAUAUGCUCUUUUAUUUGUGCGAAGUUGUUCAGACUUUUCUUUGAUUCAUUAUUUUAGCUGCAUACAAAAGGAGUAUGAGUACUGUUUGGUUCCAUGCAGGACCAACCAAGGAAGAGAAGCAAAUCACAACCCUUUAGUUCAUGGUCUAGGAGCAGGAAGAUACACAUCCAUCUUUGUGAUAUUCUGGUAUGAAUAUGCAUGGUACUACGUACAGAAUCCCUCAAUUGUGUAGAUAGGUCAUCAAGUAAUAGUUAGUAAUUCAUACUUCUGCUUCACCUUUUAGUUAAUUAUCCGCUUUCAAGUAUUUGUUGCCGAAGUGAGCAUCUAAUUGCAGGAAUUCUGUGAGGUAACCAUCUCAAUCUUUUUGUCACAAGGCUCUUGCGCGGUAGAGAUUUUUGCUUGGUCAUAAAUGAAUUAGUUCCAUUCUUUGACAGUAAGAGAAUGGAGCCAGAUGGAGGAACAUCAGCAUUGAUGCCAACAUUUCCAUUCUCUUGUUGUAGUAGUGUCUUAAUUGGAAGAAUAUUUUGAUGAUGUUGAUUGCUUUCUAUUCUCAUCUUUUCAUUAUUUUAGAUCACUUUCUCGAUAGUUCAAUACUAUAUUUUUGGGAUUAACUGUAACAUUAUGUGAAUAUAUGUUUAUAGUUCUAAAAUCAGUGUUCAUCAGCAAUCAGCCUUCUAACUAAAUAAUAUUUUCGCAAGGGCUUCUCUACACUGGUACGGUCUCUCGCUGGUACAUGAUUUGAGGCAUAGGAGGGAGGGGCACGUUGCGAUGUCGUCUUUGGUCACGGCUAUAGCUUAUGAGAAGAAUGGGAUUUAUGCUUGGGAGACUGCCCGUGGUUAGCAAGUCAUUAUUGCCGCCUCCGCUUCCCAAGUUGCCUCGGCUUGCUGUUGGUGUCUGCUGCUUCUGCAGCCCCUGCCGGCCGCCUCUUAGGUUGGGUUUUGCUACCACUACUGAAGUUUCCAUUGCCUCGGCAAGGCGUCGUCGUCUUACUUGCAAGGCACACAUUGCACCGCGGGCAACAUUUUGCUAUGCAUGGCCACUCAUGUCAAAGCUGGGUUCCAGUUUGACGACCUCUCUAUCAAGUCUCCAUGUUCUUCUUCCCGGUACUUUCUCCAUCUGCUGUUAUAGUCUCUUGCAAGUACGGCUUAUCCAGUUUGAUGUCAUGUUGCUUCGACAGUUGUGUAUUAACCCCUUAGGAAGAAGAGCGGGGAGAUGGAAGUUGUAGGCGUGUGCCCCCGGCCGACCGUCGUUAGACCAGUAUGAGCUAGCGGCGGUGGUCGUCGAGGACUCUAAGCAUCCGCGGAUUGUCGUGGCGUAGUGGUGCCACCGAGGGCACCAACAUCAGCAGUAGAUGCAACAACGGCGGCAACGAUAUGAUCUACUCCCUACAUUUCAUAAUGUAGUGCUCUUGAGAGGUGGAGCAUUAAAGAGCAAAUCAACUGGGCCCAGGCCUUCAUGGCUUCGUCCCCUACUUUCUACUGAUCCAUGCCAACUGCGUAGUUAUUUACUUUGGAAAGGCCUAGAUAUAUUUCACAUUUAACAGAAAAGUUCACACUGCAAUUGUCUGUACAAAGUUAUGUUUUGUUUUCAUUAUUUGUUUAUGUAACUCAUUUUUGGACUUGGUACUCAUUUGACAAUAGUGUUUUUAGAUGGUGCUGGGGAAUAGAUUCAGUUGAGUGGUGGAGUUAGCACUUGCUCAUGGUCAUGGAUGACUCUUCCUCGUCGAUGGAUGUAUGUUUAGUACUCCGUCAGUUUCAUAAUUCUUGUCGUGCUUUUAGUUCAAAGUAAAACCAUGUCAAGAAUUAUGGAAUGGAGGGAGUACUUAUUUGCCGAACCGGAGUUAAUACGUGCAUGGUGUGUGGUAACUACUCUUGCAUUUGAAUUUUUUGUGUGCGUUUAGUCUUUUAGAGGCUUUGUACUCUAUUGAUACACAUGUGGCAUAUCUGCAGGAUAGAUAAUGUUUCAUUGGUAGCCCACACAGUGCAUCUAGAGAAAACAAUUGCUUUCAUCGGCAUACGGGGAUAUAUUCUUCAGUGGACAUUCAGCUAGAAUACAUAUGAAUUUUCCAUAUACUUAAGAGUUUUUUCUCUCAAGGGAGCUGCAUUUUUUUAGAAAGGGAAUAACACAUAUUGGUUGUUUUCAUGGUAUUAGCCACCUCUAUUGUGUGUCUCAAUCAUUUAAAUUUUGGGCAUUGUACUAUCAUGGAUCAGUUUUGCAAUAAAUUGGUAGAAGUUUUUGCCCCCAAGAAUAUAAUGAGAAAUAUUUGCCGCAACUAAACUUUGCUGAGCAUGUCUAUUAACACUUUCCUCUUCUCCUAUUAGAUGUAAUGAUGUAGACCAAAGCAACCCUCAUGUAUAUUGAUACUAUACUAGAAGGCCACUGAAGAAUUUUACAGAACAAGAGAAGAUGGCGUGCACCAUAUCUUUAAGAUGACUUCCCUCACCAUGUGGCAUGCACUUUUCGGUUUUACUUUAGCGCAAUUGCCAUGUAUGUAAGGGAUGCAAUUAGGCUGAAUAUUGCAAUUGUAGUUUUUUCUAAACUUUUUCAACAUCCCAGCAUUAGUAAAAUACUCCCCCCAUUCCAUAAUGUAAGACUUUUUUGCAAGUUAUAUGUUUGUACAUUAUAUUGCUGGAAAUCAAGAAUUUACUCUUUUUGACUAA